CAGGGAGCAGGGAUCAGGUGACAUGCACCUUUGCAUGUCAUCGUGUGACUAGCGGCCCAAAUUCAUAUUUAAACAUUGUAAAAAAAUCUGAAAAAAAUCAUGCAUGUUCAUAGCACAUAUUAAGAUAAUCCCUAAAAAAUUCAGAUCAAAAUUCAGAACAUACACCAAGAAGCAAAAAAGAGAAACUCAUAUGUGAAUAGUAUAGAGAACCAUUCGCAACUAUUCAUAACAGAUUUCUCUUUUUUGCUUCUUGAUGUAUGUUUCGAAUUUUGAUCUGAAUUUUUUACGGAUUAUCUUAAUAUGUGCUAUGAACAUGCAUGAUUUUUUUUCAAAUUUUUUACAAUGUUUAAAUAUGAAUUUAGGCCGCAAGGUGACAUGCAAAGGUGCAUGUCACCUGAUCCCUGUCACAACAGCACAACCCAAAUGAAAACAACUCAGAAAAACAGCAAACAAUCACACACGACGACAGCAGUGAUGCUGCCUACAACAAUGGUUCUGAGGUCUGCAUCAUAAACAUACGUUUGCUUCAUCGCAAACCAGAAGGAACAUCAUCACAUAUCAAGUUCGUCUUACUCCAACAACCAUAUUUCUUCUACACAGAAGAAGAUAGACCUAGCACGGCAAUUAGGAACAAACUACAACCGGAAGCAACACAUUCCACUUCCGAUCCACUAACGGCGUUGACGGGGAGGACGGCUUAGGCCCUCUCGCCACGGAUGCGGCGGGCGAG
rnacentral:lncRNA from 1 species